UAGUGUAAAAGGCAAACCACCUGAAAGGGUGGGACGCAAAGCCAUGGGUCUACAGCCGUUACCGGUAUGACUGCCAGGCUGCCGCU
rfam:Moorella thermoacetica ATCC 39073, complete genome.